CCUACGGGUGGCUGCAGUGGGGAAUAUUGCACAAUGGGCGUAAGCCUGAUGCAGCCAUGCCGCGUGUGUGAAGAAGGCCUUCGGGUUGUAAAGCACUUUCAGCGGGGAGGAAGGCGUUAAGGUUAAUAACCUUGUCGAUUGACGUUACCCGCAGAAGAAGCACCGGCUAACUCCGUGCCAGCAGCCGCGGUAAUACGGAGGGUGCAAGCGUUAAUCGGAAUUACUGGGCGUAAAGCGCACGCAGGCGGUCUGUCAAGUCGGAUGUGAAAUCCCCGGGCUCAACCUGGGAACUGCAUUCGAAACUGGCAGGCUAGAGUCUUGUAGAGGGGGGUAGAAUUCCAGGUGUAGCGGUGAAAUGCGUAGAGAUCUGGAGGAAUACCGGUGGCGAAGGCGGCCCCCUGGACAAAGACUGACGCUCAGGUGCGAAAGCGUGGGGAGCAAACAGGAUUAGAUACCCGAGUAGUC
rnacentral:rRNA from 1 species